rnacentral:piRNA from 1 species
UGAAAGGAGUGCCUUUUACGACUCAUGAG